GACGAACGCUGGCGGCGUGCUUAACACAUGCAAGUCGAACGGUAAGGCCCUUCGGGGUACACGAGUGGCGAACGGGUGAGUAACACGUGGGUGAUCUGCCCUGCACUUCGGGAUAAGCCUGGGAAACUGGGUCUAAUACCGGAUAGGACCACUGCCUGCAGGGGUGGUGGUGGAAAGCUUUUGCGGUGUGGGAUGGGCCCGCGGCCUAUCAGCUUGUUGGUGGGGUGAUGGCCUACCAAUGCGACGACGGGUAGCCGGCCUGAGAGGGUGACCGGCCACACUGGGACUGAGAUACGGCCCAGACUCCUACGGGAGGCAGCAGUGGGGAAUAUUGCACAAUGGGCGCAAGCCUGAUGCAGCGACGCCGCGUGAGGGAUGACGGCCUUCGGGUUGUAAACCUCUUUCAGCACCGACGAAGCGCAAGUGACGGUAGGUGCAGAAGAAGGACCGGCCAACUACGUGCCAGCAGCCGCCGCCG
rnacentral:rRNA from 1 species